rnacentral:lncRNA from 1 species
CAAUUUUCUUGUAAAUAGUUAUCUUGUAACUUCAUUCCUUUUUCGUCUCUUUCCCUAUUUUUAUCAUCUCUUUCUUCAUCCACUUAAUUCAAAAGGUUUUGGAAUGACUGGGUUUUUUAAGAUUAUCAAUACAAUUUUCUUUCGUUCAGAAUAAAUUCGUUUAAUAGAAAAUUAAUUUUCCUUAACUGAUACUCCAACCGGAUUAACGGAAUGCAAACAAGCAAUACUUCGAGCUUAGCUGGUCGUAAAAAUUAGAGACAACCCCCUAAUAAUUUGAAAGAUUAAACUUAGGUUACACCCAAAAAAAGAAAGAAGACAUAUUUUUGAAGUUUAAAUAGUAAAAUCCUGUCUGAUAGAACUGAGAAAGUGGAAUGUGAUUGUUAUAUUUCACUUUAUCUUUUGUUCAUUUUAGUAAAAACAAAGUCACGACUUGCCAAUCAGCAAACACUUAACUUUUUUUUUUUUGAAACUAACAAACACUUAUUACUCAACUUAAUUUACCCUCAACUAUCAAAAGUUACAUCGAGCCACUCCACUACUCUACAAUCUUGUAAUUUUCAACACCAACUUCAUAAAAUACGAUGGUAAACCCCAU